CCCUGAAUGACAAAGAAGAAAGUGAUGAAGAAGAGAAGAGAGAACUGGAUGCCCUGAAUGACAAAGAAGAAAGUGAUGAAGAAGAGAAGAGAGAACUGGGUGCUUCACUGACUCAAGAUACAUCAAAGACAAAAAGAUGGGUGACUGGUUGCCAUUACUACCCUUGGGGAUACAAAUGUGUAAACUCUUGGGACUGCAAUCAUUCUUUUCAUCACAAACCUUGGUGUCAAUAUCGUGUAAAAACAUGUUACAAAAAAAGCUGUGGCCAAUGGAUCCGUGUUUGCAGAAGAGAGUUUCGACCACACACCUGUUACACAUGCCGUAAAUCAUACCCUUGGCAUUAUCGCUACUGGCACUGGUGAUGUCGAGAAGGCUUCAAGCAAGCCCACUGCUGAAAAACACUGAAUGAAAUGAAACACACUCUUCUUUUUUUUCAGCUUUUUUUUUUUCAUAUUUAUGUUUGCACUUAAAAGUGAAAACUAAUUCAAAAAGGAGCUUAUGAGAUGUGAUAACUCCAAUAUGUAUCUGCAAACAUGAUAAAAAUAUAUUUAAUAGCAAUACUUUAUUGUCCUUCAUUGAAGAUCUCUAAGCUAAAAGCCUCCAGUUGCAGUAUGACUUCUGGGCGUUUUCUAUAAAUGCAGAAUGACUUUCUUUUACUUAAAAAAACAGCUUAAAAUGCAAGCAAAAUAUAAAAACAUUUAUGGCAUUUAGCAAGUCGAAAUAAACAGAUAAAUUGUCAA